rnacentral:rRNA from 1 species
CUUGCUAGCUGUGACGUUACUCGCAGAAGAAGCACCGGCUAAUUUAGUGCCAGCAGCCGCGGUAAUACUAAAGGUGCAAGCGUUAAUCGGAAUUACUGGGCGUAAAGCGCGCGUAGGUGGUUUGUUAAGUUGGAUGUGAAAGCCCAGGGCUCAACCUUGGAACUGCAUUCAAAACUGACUCACUAGAGUACGAGAGAGGUUUGUGGAAUUUCCUGUGUAGCGGUGAAAUGCGUAGAGAUGGGAAGGAACACCAGUGGCGAAGGCGACUGACUGGCUCGAUACUGACACUGAGGUGCGAAAGCGUGGGGAGCAAACNGGAUUAGAUACCCCGGUAGUCCACGCCGUAAACGAUGUCUACUAGCCGUUGGAGGACCUGAUCCUUUAGUGGCGCAGCUAACGCGAUAAGUAGACCGCCUGGGGAGUACGGUCGCAAGAUUA